AGCCUUAGGAUAACAGAUCUAAGGUUAGACCUGCCCAAUGUAAAUAAAUCAAUGGCCGCGGUACUUUGACCGUGCUAAGGUAGCGCAAUCAAUUGGCUUUUAAUUGGAGCCAGGUAUGAAUGGAGUCACGGGGUUUAGCUGUCUCUUAUCUAUUUUAUUGAAGUUACUAUGUAGGUGAAAAAGCCUACAUAAAAAAGGGGGACGAGAAGACCCUUAGAGUUUUUCUUAUAUUGUAUUUUUACAUAAUGGUUUGGUUGGGGCAACUUAGGAUCACAUUAAACAUCCUAAAAUUUAUUGACCGAUUUUAAUAAAUUUGAAUAAACUACCUUAGGGAUAACAGCAUAAUUUUAUAAAUAAGUUUGUGACCUCGAUGUUGGACUAGGAAACUAAGGGGCUAGCCGCUUUUUAGGUAAGUUCUGUUCGAACUAUUAUUCCU
rnacentral:rRNA from 1 species